AUUGAACGCUGGCGGCAGGCCUAACACAUGCAAGUCGAGCGGAUGAAGGGAGCUUGCUCCUGGAUUCAGCGGCGGACGGGUGAGUAAUGCCUAGGAAUCUGCCUGGUCGUGGGGGAUAACGUCCGGAAACGGGCGCUAAUACCGCAUACGUCCUGAGGGAGAAAGUGGGGGAUCUUCGGACCUCACGCUAUCAGAUGAGCCUAGGUCGGAUUAGCUAGUUGGUGGGGUAAAGGCCUACCAAGGCGACGAUCCGUAACUGGUCUGAGAGGAUGAUCAGGCACACUGGAACUGAGACACGGUCCAGACUCCUACGGGAGGCAGCAGUGGGGAAUAUUGGACAAUGGGCGAAAGCCUGAUCCAGCCAUGCCGCGUGUGUGAAGAAGGUCUUCGGAUUGUAAAGCACUUUAAGUUGGGAGGAAGGGCAGUAAGUUAAUACCUUGCUGUUUUGACGUUACCAACAGAAUAAGCACCGGCUAACUUCGUG
rnacentral:rRNA from 1 species